CACGAUCAGUAGCCGACCUGAGAGGGUGACCGGCCACAUUGGGACUGAGACACGGCCCAGACUCCUACGGGAGGCAGCAGUGGGGGAUAUUGCACAAUGGGGGAAACCCUGAUGCAGCGACGCCGCGUGGAGGAAGAAGGUUUUCGGAUUGUAAACUCCUGUCGUUAGGGACGAUAAGACGGUACCUAACAAGAAAGCACCGGCUAACUACGUGCCAGCAGCCGCGGUAAAACGUAGGGUGCAAGCGUUGUCCGGAAUUACUGGGUGUAAAGGGAGCGCAGGCGGGAAGCAAGUUGGAAGUGAAAACCAUGGGCUCAACCCAUGAAUUGCUUUCAAAACUGUUUUUCUUGAGUAGUGCAGAGGUAGAUGGAAUUC
rnacentral:rRNA from 1 species